GACGAACGCUGGCGGCGUGCUUAACACAUGCAAGUCGAACGGUGAAGCGAGUGCUUGCACUCGUGGAUCAGUGGCGAACGGGUGAGUAACACGUGAGUAACCUGCCCAUCACUCUGGGAUAAGCACUGGAAACGGUGUCUAAUACUGGAUACGACCAACCCUUGCAUGGGGUGUUGGUGGAAAGAUUUAUCGGUGAUGGAUGGACUCGCGGCCUAUCAGCUUGUUGGCGGGGUAAUGGCCCACCAAGGCGACGACGGGUAGCCGGCCUGAGAGGGUGACCGGCCACACUGGGACUGAGGCACGGCCCAGACUCCUACGGGAGGCAGCAGUGGGGAAUAUUGCACAAUGGGCGAAAGCCUGAUGCAGCGACGCCGCGUGAGGGAUGACGGCCUUCGGGUUGUAAACCUCUUUCAGCAGGGAAGAAGCGAAAGUGACGGUACCUGCAGAAGAAGCACCGGCUAACUACGUG
rnacentral:rRNA from 1 species